AACGAACGCUGGCGGCAGGCCUAACACAUGCAAGUCGAGCGCCCCGCAAGGGGAGCGGCGGACGGGUGAGUAACGCGUGGGAAUAUGCCCUUUGCUACGGAAUAGUCUCGGGAAACUGGGGGUAAUACCGUAUACGCCCUUUGGGGGAAAGAUUUAUCGGCGAAGGAUUAGCCCACGUUGGAUUAGGUAGUUGGUGGGGUAAUGGCCUACCAAGCCGACGAUCCAUAGCUGGUUUGAGAGGAUGAUCAGCCACACUGGGACUGAGACACGGCCCAGACUCCUACGGGAGGCAGCAGUGGGGAAUCUUAGACAAUGGGGGCAACCCUGAUCUAGCCAUGCCGCGUGAGUGAUGAAGGCCUUAGGGUUGUAAAGCUCUUUCAGCUGGGAAGAUAAUGACGGUACCAGCAGAAGAAGCCCCGGCUAACUCCGU
rnacentral:rRNA from 1 species